rnacentral:lncRNA from 1 species
AUAUUUGCAUUUAAAGCCACGCCCUGCCGAGUGUUCUUCCCGCCUCUCCCGGGCCUGAGGGGGCCGCGCCCCGAUUGGCUGAGGCUCGCGGCCUCGCGCCUCACGGACCGCGUCCGUGUAACGGAAAGGGCGCGCGCCGGCUGCGCGAGGUUAGUGCGCGUUCUCCGCCGGCAGGAAGCGGAAGUGACGGUGCGGCGGGGCGCGCGCUGCGCCGCGAGAAGGCGGGCGGCGGUUGCUGUCGUUACCGACCCGCCUAGGGACGUGAGGGCGGCGUGCGGGGCUGGCGCCGGGCCCAGCGCCGGGGGUGGGAGCGGCUCGGAGUUUUGCAGGAUGAGCGCCGUCGCUGAAGAUGCUAAGCCAGAAGAUGCCAAACCAGAAUCUGAAAAAAAAAUAUAUUAUUGUGAAGUUUGUAAAGUUCCAUGUAUGAGUUCUAUAAGUCUUCAGUCACACUAUCGUGGUAUGAAGCAUAGAAAGAAAGAAGAAGCACUGAGAUUCAAGACAGUCUAUUUGAAGAGAGGACUCAUGAAGGAGAUAACAUGUCUGAAGGAUUUUAUAAAUGAUCCCAAAAGAGAAGAACCUCUAGUUGGUAUGUUUUUUCUGUUUUCUAAAUGCUGUCUUUGUAUUGUAUAUGUGUUUUGAAAUACAAGGUGAUAUUUUGAUAUUGUUUCAUUAUGUAAUCGAUGUUGGAUAAUUAAUGGGAUGUAUCUUACACAUUGUACCUUUAAAGUUCAGCUUGUUAUAUAGCUGCUGUAAAAGCCACCUCUUCUAUGCACCUUACUCGUUAGAUAAUUACUUCCUGAAGGAACCAUAUCAAUAAGGAUGCUUUUCACAGAACUCAAAAUGAUUGAGAUUGGAAAGACCAUCUGGAGCUCAUCUUGUCCAACUCCUCUGUUCAAGCGUGAUCACCAAGCAGGUUGAUUAAGACUGUGUCUAGGUAGCUUUAGAAUAUCUGCUAGGAGGUGGAGACUUCACAACUUCUGCUGAUAAGCUGUUCCAGUGCUCGGUCAUUCUCACAGUGAAAAAGUGUUUCUUUGUGUUCAGAAGCCAUCUCCUGUGCUUCAGUUUUAACCCAUUGCCUCUUGUUCUGUCACUGGGCACCACUGAAAGGAGACCGUAUCUAUCAUCUUUGCACCUUCCCUUCGUGUUUAUUUAUAUGCACUGAGGUUCCCACCUUCUCUAUUCCAAGCUGAGCACUCCUAGCUCUCUCAGCCUUUCCUCAUGUGAGAGGUAUUCACAUUCCUUCAUCAUCUCUGUAGCCCUUUGCAGAAUUCCUUCAAGUACGUCCCUCUUUAUUGUGCUAGAAAGCCCAAAACUAGUCACGGUACUCCACAUGCGGCAUUAUCAGUGCUUAGUGGAGACACCUCUCAUGGUGGCAACACUCUUCAUGCAGCCCAAAUUUACUUAUAAACUUUUUCAUGCUAGUUAUAAACAUCAGAUUUAGAGAUUUUU